rnacentral:rRNA from 1 species
GUCAAAUCAUCAUGCCCCUUAUGUCCUGGGCUUCACGCAUGCUACAAUGGCCAGUACAAAGGGCUGCGAUACCGUGAGGUGGAGCGAAUCCCAAAAAACUGGUCUCAGUUCGGAUUGGGGUCUGCAACUCGACCCCAUGAAGUCGGAGUCGCUAGUAAUCGCAGAUCAGCAACGCUGCGGUGAAUACGUUCCCGGGCCUU